rnacentral:rRNA from 1 species
UUACGGGAGGCAGCAGUAAGGAAUAUUGGUCAAUGGGCGCAAGCCUGAACCAGCCAUGCCGCGUGCAGGAAGACGGCCCUAUGGGUUGUAAACUGCUUUUGUCAGGGAAUAAAUGAUGGUACGUGUACCAUCUUGAAGGUACCUGAAGAAUAAGCAUCGGCUAACUCCGUGCCAGCAGCCGCGGUAAUACGGAGGAUGCAAGCGUUAUCCGGAUUCAUUGGGUUUAAAGGGUGCGCAGGCGGAUUGGUAAGUCAGGGGUGAAAUCCCACAGCUCAACUGUGGAACUGCCUUUGAUACUGUCAGUCUAGAGUAUAGUUGAAGUUGGCGGAAUGUGUCAUGUAGCGGUGAAAUGCUUAGAUAUGACACAGAACACCGAUCGCGAAGGCAGCUAGCUAAGCUAUAACUGACGCUCAUGCACGAAAGCGUGGGGAUCAAACAGGCUUAGAUACCCUGGUAGA